GGAGGGCGAGGCCCCCUUUAGCCUACAUUUCUCCAAGGAAAUCUGAGGGGAGCCACCCACCUAGCCCUAUCCAUGGGUCUAUCUUGAUUUAUAACUUGGAAAGAGACAACGGGAAAUGGGCCUCCACUUAUGGCCCUGUCCGGGGGCCACAGGACUGUGGGUCUGAUUCCAGGCACAGUUUAGAGGAAGAUGUCUACUGUCUUUGUAACUAUAACACAAAGGCUCUGCAGUGUUCCACUAAGAGCUUGGGCUUUGUAAGCCUACAAGCUCCACCGUAAUUCGCAUCCCUGGAAACUGCCUGGUCCUUCCAGUGACAGGAUCCAGACAGUAACCUGCUCCAUGCCCACCUGGGAAGAGCCUUCUGAGAGCAUUUCUUUCCCCCAUUUUUUUUCUCCAGCCUGUGAUACAGUGUUUCCUCUCUGUCCACCCUUCAUAUGACAUCAUGGGUACACAGCUCCCUUUGACAAAGGAACCUUUAAAAGCCCCAUAAAAGAUAACUUGAAAGAGUCACAUACUUAUUUCCCUGAUGGGGAAAUUUAUAAGCACUCAAGCUGUGACAACCAAAACUGGAACAUUGUUCUCAUAGCUUGAGAAGCAGCUUUCCACCUCGUCAUGCAGUGUCCAGGCUUCUAAGUCAGGACAGGUAGGAGGGACGCUACCCUGGGAGGCAGGUAGCCCUGGAUGCAGUACUGGCUCUGUGACCUUGGACUGGCUGGGUGGUCUCUCCUCAGCCUUUUUGGGCCUCAAUUUCUUCUGCUAUAAAACAGAAAUAAUAGCAUACUCUCUGCCUACAUCACAAGGCAGAAACGGGGAUGAGAUAAUGUCAUGAAAGUAAGAGUGUAUUUUUAAAUGAUAUAAAGCACUUGGACAAUUUAAAAGAUUUAUGCAGAUGUAUUUCUGUUACUAUAUAUACCAGCACUGUCCCAAAGAACUUUCUGUGCAAAAGAAAUGUUCCCUAUAUGCGAUGUCCAAUACUGCAGACACGUGGCUAUUUUCAUUGUUUUUGUUUUGUUUUAAGGCUGUACCUGUGUUCCCAGGCUAGGGGUCAAACUGGAGCUGAACCUGAGGCCUACAUCACAGCCACAGCAGCAACAGAUACAUGCCGCAUCUGCGGACCUACACUGCAGCUUGUGCCAACACUGGAUCCUAAACCCACUGAGCGAAGCCAGGGAGUGAAUCCACAUCCUCAUGGACACUAUGUCUAGUUCUUAACCCACUGACCCACAAAGGGAACACCCCAUGUGGCUAUUGGAUAUUUGAAAUGUGUCAAGUACAACUGAAAAGCUGAAUUUUUCAUUUUCUUUCCUUUUCCUUAAUUUUAAUUUAAAUAACCACAUGCAGUAGUAGGGACUGUAUGGGGUAGUGCAGACAGAGACUUUAAUAGACAGCUGCUGUUCAGGUCUGCCCAGCAUUUGUUUAAUAUUUCUCUAGUGACAAGACUGUGAUGGUUAAUUUUAUGUUUCAACCUGACUGGACUAAGCCACAUCCAGAGAGCUAAUAAAACAUUAUUUCUGAAUACGUCUAUGGAAAAUGUUUCCGGAAGAGAUGAGCAUUUGAACUGGUGAACUGCACAAAGCAGACAGCCCCCACCUAUGCGGCAGGCAUCAUCCAAUCUGUCAUGGGCCCACACAGAACAGAAAGGCAGAGUAAGGAUGAAUUUGCUCUCUUUACUUGAGUUGUGGCCUCUGUCGUCUCCUGCUCUCAGACUCCAUCACUCCCGGACCUCAGGCCUGCAGACCUGGGCUGAAUGACAUCACCAGCUGUCCUGGUUCUUCCUCUGGCAGAUGGUAAAUGUGGGACUUGUGGACUUCCAUGACCACGUGAGCCCAUUCCUAUGAUAAAUCUUGUCUUCAUCUACAUAGUUGUAUCUCUAUUUGUAUCUACACCUGAUUCAUCCUAUGGGCUCUCUUUCUCUGGAGAACCCUGACUCAUACAAGUGCUUGGGCAUCCUUUAGAGGGAUGACCUCUCACUCACAAGAGGUGAGACAAGUGGUGGUCAAUUGCCACAUCUUGUUCUAGCCCACUGCACAUGGCCCAGGUGAGGCCAGCGUACAUCUGCCAGGACUUUGAAUUUCAAGGGAAGUUUGGCAGGGAUGAGAGAAACCAAAAAUCAUCAGAAGUGUUCAAUCCAAUAGCAGUGGUACCUCUCAGGCUCUUAAUUCACUCCUGCUGCUUGCUUUUUCCACAUGUUCGUGGUUCUCACCACUUUCAAAAGCCAGUUCUUCAGCUACUGGUCCUCUAUGGGCCACCCAACAUAGUGUCAAUUAAGUUAUCACUGACUGCUGACAACUUCACCAAUGUAUGUAACAACAUAUUUCCAAAAUACUCGUUUCUAACGAUUUCUUGACCCCACUGGGACUGAGCCCCAACGACCCACAGCAGUAACCCUUAUUAACACUUAUUAACACACCCUUGUGGGAUUUUCUCGCUUUUCUAUCUCACACUGUCAUUUCCUCACGUGUGUUUCCUGGGUUCGUUGCCCAACCCAAGUACUUACACCUGAGUCCUGGUCUUGGGUUUUCAAGAGUAGAGAGGAAGAAGCUGAAACCUGGUAGUUUGCUGUCUUCAUUAAACUGGAAGACCCAUAGGUCCUAAGAAGCACCCAGGCCCCUGUCACUGAGCAGAGCCCUCAUCUUUCCAGCAAUGGAGAUUUCCUGCAGGAAAGCUGCCAAAUACUGCACUGCAGUUAUACUCUCAACCUAGUGGGAAAUUCUAGGCAGAAAGAAUGAUCCUAAGUGCUCAUUUGCAGUCAUUCUUUUGGAAGGCUGUGGCCCCAGAGGGAAUUGAUACCCCUCCCCUCGCCCGUGGCUCUCCACCCUCUCCUCUUUCUCUAGAAAAGUGGGGUCAGGAGGAAUGGAGAGACUGAGACUAACUCUUUAACCUUCCAUGGCUGCAGGGGAUGAUGAUCCCUAAAUGGAUCAGGACCUUGGUCAUGAUUUGUGCCCAAGGUGGAUGACAUGUCAAGUGAGCAAAGAGAGGAACAACCAAAUCAUUCAAAGUGCAUCCCAGUGAAGUUUGCCAGAAAUGAUGUAAUCUCCAAGGGACGUCAAGCCCAGCACCCACAUCUGCAGCUGCUACUACCUACCAAAUGCAGCUAAGACAGAUCCAUCAUCCCAUCACAGAUCAUAAAUCCAAACUGCAAUUAAAAUGCAAAAGAGAAAAUGCCAGCUUCCUUGGAACAUCAACAGAAAGUUGCUCUUAUUUAGGGUUUUUUCUCUUCUCUUAUUUUGAUCCAUUGCCAUUUGAAUAGAUGAGAACACAGGUUUGAGUUUUGCUUUUAUAUUUGUCUGAGGUUUUUUUGACAUUGGCUUUCUUCUCUUUAAUUUUUAGUUUCAUCCAGCACAAGUAGGGGGUAAGAAAAGGAAUGAUGAAAGGCUCAAGGCAUCAGAAAUCCAAGCUCUGAUUCAAAACAGGCAUCCUGAUAAGUAGUUUUCAAACAAUGGUCCAGGAGCCCUAGAGCUCUGACCAGGCAUCUGGGGCCCAUGGGAGCCAGGAAGGAAAAAACUCUGACUCCCAUGCCUGCUUUACCACAUCCAUUCUAUUUGAUGCAUUAGAGCUCUCUAAAGGAUUUUUAUUUUUAUUUUUUUUUUUUGAGAAAACCUGCUAACAUUAAAGAAGAAAAACAGUUAUAUUUUAAUACCACCUUUACAUACUCAUUGAGCAAUUUUCCUUUAGGAAAGAAUGGCCCCUCCAUUUGCUAGCUAUGCAAAGGGCUCAACACUUUUCACAUAUAUUCUGGUUUGCUAAGAAAUGUGAGCAUUUGUCAGUAGUGUUUUUGUUUUGUUUUGUUUUUUGUACGCACAUGCUCAUAACAUGCAAAAGUUCCCAGGCCAGGGAUCAAACCCGCACCACAGCAGCAACUCUAUUCACAGCAGUGACAAUGCCAGAUUUUUAACUGCUAGACCACCAGGGAAUUCCCUAUCAGUAGUUUUUAUUGUUUGCUGGUUAGUUAGCUUUUCUGUGAAGACAUCUCCUGCCCCCCCCGCCCCUUUUCAGGAUAUUCUCUCACUCCACUGGGUACAGAACUGGGAGGACACAGUGCCCUGCUUCCCUCCAUGAAAGACAAAGGAAGGAUCCUCCUUUUCCUACAUGACAACAUGGGUUCAUUCAAUCGGAUGCAGACAGUUUCUGUUCCUCAGUCAAGAACCAAGACUGAUAUGCUGGGAACUUUUGCAUGUUACAAGCAUGUGCAUACCCCAAAUCUCAGUAGCCAAGCACAAAGGUUUACUUCUCCCUCAUGCAGUUCUGAUGCAGGAUGGGUGGCUCUCUGUCUUUCUGUCUGCCCUUCAAGAAACAGCCAGCUCAUUACCGCUUGUCAAGACCUUGUGGCCAAGUGGACCCACGUGACCCCAAAUUCUUACAAGUCUCCUUAGAAAUGUUUAAAAAUUCUUGAAACAGGAGUCUGAGUAGCAUGCAUAUCAUCCGCUGCCACACUAUUGUUUUAUAUUAUUUAUCAUUGCUGUUGUGAUUACCGGAAUUUAUGGCAGUCAUUAGCCAACAGCCAUUCCAAUGCUCUCAGCCAGCAAUCUGUCACUCUUCUCCUUGGUGGCGGGGAGUAGAAAGGACAUGGGCAGUUACAGAACACCCAAAGCUCAGGGAGUCUUCGGUAAGGAUGAUGCAAUCCUCCCUCAGAGACCUGACAAGACCUUGACAGUGGGGAAAAGAGGGAGAGAGAGAGAAGAAAGAGAAGCAAGAACUAAUGAAUGUGGCCAGGCACCUGUCAGAACUCUAAAAGCUGAAGCACCCGAGAGGAAAGGGACAGGGUCACAGCACAGCUUGGGUCCAAGUUUUUGAGGGGUUGGCUGUACCCUGAGCAGUUUAAAAGGGCGCCUUCCAAUAAACAAUAAAAACAGAUACACUAAGGAGUUCCCAUUGUGGCUCAGUGGGGUAAGAACCCGACAUAGUGUCUAUGAGGAUGCAGGUUUGAUCCCUAGCUCCACUCAGUAGGUGAAGGAUCCCGUGUAGCCACAAGCUGCAGUGUAGGUCGUAGUUUCAGCUCAGAUCCUGAGUUGCUGUGGCUGUGGUGUAGACUUCAGCUGCGGCUCCAAUUCGACCCCUAACCUGGGACCUUCAAUAUACCACAGGUGUGGCACUAGUAAGAAAAAAUAAAUAAAUACAUCUAAAAGGUGUUUUUUUUUCCCCUUAAGGCCAGAAGCAAUGCUAGCUCCUUGAUCCUGAUUUAGCAUUCACUGUGCAACACCCACAUUUGCCCUGUGACUCAUAAACUAAUAAAAGGAAGACCUCAUCCGCUCAAGAACAUAACCGCACAGAGCCAGAGCCGACCCUGUCAGACACCAUCAUUAACUUCACAGGUUAAUUUCAGUGAUUGCCAAUUUGUAGGCAACAUUCUUCAGGAAUACAAAUGCUCUGGUCCUACCUGAACCUCUUGCAAUCCUCCUCUUAGCCCCAGUACCCUUGGAUGAAAACAAUACAAUUUGCUGACUGCCAUCCUGAGGUUGUGACGACCAUGAUAUCAAUAUUAGGAAACCCCUUAAGAUUUGAAGAAUGAUUUCUGCAUCUGUUUCAAAGUGCUUAUAGCCCAUUAGCUCAUCUGAUUUUUAUGAGAACUUUCUACAAUGGGACAUUAUGUUUCAUUUUGAGGGCCACAAGCUCACUCCCUAAGGAGAAGGAUGAUGUCUUUCAGAGGCUACAGAUCUCCAGCCUGAGCACAGCAGCUGACACAAAGUAAGUGCUGGAACAUGUUUACAGAAAGAAUGAAUAAAUAAAUAAAUAAGGGAAUGUGUGAAAGUGAUUUCUAUUCGAACAAUAAGAAUACUGAAGUCUGUAGAAAGUAUUAUUUGCUUAGGAUCGCCAUGCUAUUUGGUGGAAGAAGCAGUAUUAUGUCUCCUAGUUUUGUGCUCUUCUCACUUACAUGCAUUUCACUGUAUAGUUACUGCUUUUCUUUUAAUAACUCCAAGUAAGAAAACCUGAUCCAAUGUGCACACAUCAGGGACAAGUUAAUCUAGUGUAAGACAUUAUUCUAUUUUCUUAGUCCUAUUUCCCAUCAGCUAACAUGGAAUAAGAGUUAACUACAAGCUGGCUCUACUUUUCAUAGUUGAAACUGAUGUUCUAAUAUACCUAUAGGAACUAAUACACAAAGUGUCACAGCCAGACUCACAGAAUGCCCUGAGCCUUCUAAAGAAAGUGCCUUUGGUUAGAGGGGCACAGAGGAGCUCUGCUAAAAGAGAGAGAAAGGAGUGAUGAUGCAGAGGUGGGAAGGAGGAAGGAAAGAAGCAAGGGAGGGAGAGAGGGAGGAAGAGAAGAGGAAGAGAGGGAAGGAGUCAGAAGGGAGGGAGGAAGGAAGGAAGAAGCAAGCCAAGAGGGCACCCCCCCCCAAAAAAAAAAAAAAAA
rnacentral:lncRNA from 1 species